UACGUAGGGAGCAAGCGUUGUCCGGAUUUACUGGGUGUAAAGGGUGCGUAGGCGGCUUUAUAAGUCAGAAGUGAAAUCCAUGGGCUCAACCCAUGAACUGCUUUUGAAACUGUAGAGCUUGAGUGGAGUAGAGGUAGGCGGAAUUCCCGGUGUAGCGGUGAAAUGCGUAGAGAUCGGGAGGAACACCAGUGGCGAAGGCGGCCUACUGGGCUUUAACUGACGCUGAGGCACGAAAGCGUGGGUAGCAAACAGG
rnacentral:rRNA from 1 species